UACGUAGGGUGCGAGCGUUAAUCGGAAUUACUGGGCGUAAAGCGUGCGCAGGCGGUGAUGUAAGACAGAUGUGAAAUCCCCGGGCUCAACCUGGGAACUGCAUUUGUGACUGCAUCGCUGGAGUGCGGCAGAGGGGGAUGGAAUUCCGCGUGUAGCAGUGAAAUGCGUAGAUAUGCGGAGGAACACCGAUGGCGAAGGCAAUCCCCUGGGCCUGCACUGACGCUCAUGCACGAAAGCGUGGGUAGCAAACAGG
rnacentral:rRNA from 1 species